rnacentral:rRNA from 1 species
GACGGACGCUGGCGGCGUGCUUAACACAUGCAAGUCGAACGGAAAGGCUCCAGCUUGCUGGGGUACUCGAGUGGCGAACGGGUGAGUAACACGUGGGUGAUCUGCCCUGCACUCUGGGAUAAGCCUGGGAAACUGGGUCUAAUACCGGAUAGGACCGUGCUUUAGUGUGUGCGGUGGAAAGUUUUUCGGUGCAGGAUGAGCCCGCGGCCUAUCAGCUUGUUGGUGGGGUAAUGGCCUACCAAGGCGGCGACGGGUAGCCGGCCUGAGAGGGUGUACGGCCACAUUGGGACUGAGACACGGCCCAGACUCCUACGGGAGGCAGCAGUGGGGAAUAUUGCACAAUGGGCGCAAGCCUGAUGCAGCGACGCCGCGUGGGGGAUGACGGCCUUCGGGUUGUAAACCCCUUUCGGCAGGGACGAAGCUUUUGUGACGGUACCUGCAGAAGAAGCACCGGCUAACUACGUG